rnacentral:rRNA from 1 species
UACGUAGGGUGCAAGCGUUGUCCGGAAUUAUUGGGCGUAAAAGAGCUCGUAGGCGGUCUGUCGCGUCGGCUGUGAAAACUCGGGGCUCAACUCCGAGCUUGCAGUCGAUACGGGCAGGCUAGAGUUCGGCAGGGGAGACUGGAAUUCCCGGUGUAGCGGUGAAAUGCGCAGAUAUCGGGAGGAACACCGAUGGCGAAGGCAGCACUCUGGGCCGGCACGUGACGCUGAGGAGCGAAAGCGUGGGGAGCAACAGGGAUAAGA